GACUAUUUUGGGGGAAAGGGAAUAGUCUUGUUCUGCUUCAACUUGGAAUAAAGAUCUAGGACCAACGAUGAAAAGAGGCAGAGAACAAUUUCAUGAAGGCAAAUUUCAUGAAAAACUUUUUACAAUGAGAAUUGGUCAUCAAUGAUGGUAUGAACUGCUUCCAUAGAUGAUGAGUUCCCCAUUACUGGACAUAUUCAAGUAGAAGUUAGACAAUACCUCAGUAUAUAUUUUAAAAGGCUAUCCUACAAUCCAGUGUUAUUCUUGGUGCUCACCAAAGGCCUGGCAUACAACUCAUUUAUUGGACAAUUUGUCUAUAACAUUAGAGGAUCUUACAGGUCCUUUCCAAUUCUGCUAAAGGCCCUUUCAGCUCUGACAUUCCUUGCUCUCAGCUCUAACACCCUUGUAUUCUAAGGGCCUUCCCAACUUUGACAUUCUGUUUUAAGUCUCCUUCCAGUUCUGACAUUUCCUGUUCCAAAGCUCCUCCCAGCUCUGGCAUUGUGUGCUCCAAGGAUCUUCCCAGAACUGCCCUUUUGUCUUUUGGUCCUUUCAAGCCUUUUGUAAUUCUGAUUUCAAAUCUCAGCAGUUACCAGAGGUUUUUUCUCAGUCAGCCUGUCUUUUUGGGCCUGCCCUGAAUUUGGGACUUGGGUUGGCUAUUUAAGUCAGAGCUAAGGCUAGGUUAGGGUCCCGAAUGCCAACCUGAUGGGGCUGUAGGCUCUGGCGCAGAUCCUCGAUCCAACGAUCUCUCUCGACUGCUGAGCCACAGGAGAAGCAGCGACUUCCACUGGGCCAGCUCACCUGGUUCUCUGGCUCCUGCGGCUAUCAGUUGCACACUGCCUUCAGAGCCCACGCUCCCAGCCCUGGCAAGAUUUCUUCCUGAAGCCUAUUUACAGAUAGAAGCAGCAGUUUCCCAUCCAGGAGGGUGAAGCCACUGAUGUCCCAGACUGGAGCAUCUGCAGUGGGAGCCUCAGGAAUGCGCUGAGUCACAGGUGGGAAAUCUGAGCAGAGAGUAUGCAGGUGACAUCAAUGAUGACAAUGACAAUAGGGAGCAUUUACAUAGUGCUUUCAAGUUUGGCAAAGUAUCUUACACAUGCUAUUGCAUUGUAUCUUCUACAGAACGCUGGGAAGGCCUGAAAAUCCCCUUUUUUGGUCUUUCAAAAUAUUCUUAAAUUCGAGUCCUUCUAGUGCUAUCAGCUCAACCAGCUCACCGAAUCACAGACUCAGAAUUGGAACGGAACUCUGAAGUCAUCCAAGGCAAACCAUUCUAGAAAAAGACUAUCCCCUACAAACUGCUGGGCACUAGCCAAUUGCUAAGUGGUCUCUUCCUUGCUCUGGCCCCAUCUUUCUCCCUCUCUAAGAACCUAGGAGUGAUUAUCAUUUCUAGGUGGGAGGGAGUAAGGAUGUUGGUGCUACCAAGGAGAGGUAUAGGGAUUGGAGACCUACAUUUAUAGAAUGAUUUAAGAUUUAUCAAUAUUUGGGAAUCUAUGUGUCAAAACAAACACAGGAAUUAUAUGAACACAACUAUAAAACAUUUUUCACAGAAUUAAAACUAGAUCUAAACAAGUAGAAAAACAUUAAUUGUUCAUGGGUAGGAAGAACUAAUAUAAUAAAAAUGACAAUCCUAUCUAAAUUACUUUACUUAUUCAGUGCUAUACCUAUCAAAUGAACAAAACCUUUUUUACAGAAUUAGAAAAAAUAAUAGCAAAGUUCAUCUGGAAGAGCAAAAGAUAAGAAUAUCAAGGGAACUAAUGAAAAAAAUGUGAAGGAUGGUGGCCUAGCAGUACCAGAUCUUAAAACUGUACUGUAAAGCAGCAAUCAUCAAAACAAUAUGGUACUGGCUAAGAGACAGAAGGGUGGAUCAAUGGAAUAGACUGGAGUAAAUGACCUCAGCAAUCUAGUGUUCAAUAAACUCACUAUUUGACAAAAACUUCUGGGAAAAUUAGAAAACAGUAUGGCAAAAAUUAGAUUUAGAUUAAUAUCUCACACCCUAUACCAAGAUAAAUUCAAAAUAGGUAUAUGAUUUAAUAUAAAGAAUGAUAUUAUAAGUAAGAUAGGUGAACGUAGAAUAAUAUGCCUGUCAGAUCUCUGGGGAAGGGAAGAAUUUAAGACCAAGCAAGAGAUAUAGAACAUUACAAGAUAUAAAAUGAAUAAUUUUGAUUAUAUUAAAUUUAAAAAGUUUUGUACAAACAAAACAAUUGCAACCAAAAUUAGAAGGGAAGCAACAAAUUGGGAAAAAAUCUUUAUAACAAAAAACUCCGACAAAGGUCUAAUUUUUCCAAUGUAUAAGGAACUAUGUCAAAUUUACAAGAAAUCAAGCCAUUCCCCAAUUGACAAAUGGUCAAGGGAUAUGAAUAGGCAGUUUUCAGAUGAAGAAAUCAAAACUAUAAAUAAUCAUAUGAAAAAGUGUUUUAAAUCCCUUCUAAUUAGAGAAAUACUUGUAUAACCCAGUGGAAUUGCUUGUUAGCUUUGGGAGAGGGAAAGGAAGAGGAGGAGAGAACAUGAAUCAUGUAAC